GUCAGUGUUCUCUGGGUCUGGACUGGUUGAAGCUCCCAGAUGAAGUCUUCCUGGCUCCAGAGGACUGUAGAGUGGGGGGUGUUCUGGUCAGUGUUCUCUGGGUCUGGACUGGUUGAAGCUCCCAGAUGAAGUCUUCCUGGCUCCAGAGGACUGUAGAGUGGGGGGGUGUUCUGGUCAGUGUUCUCUGGGUCUGGACUGGUUGAAGCUCCCAGAUGAAGUCUUCCUGGCUCCAGAGGACUGUAGAGUGGGGGGUGUUCUGGUCAGUGUUCUCUGGGUCUGGACUGGUUGAAGCUCCCAGAUGAAGUCUUCCUGGCUCCAGAGGACUGUAGAGUGGGGGGGUGUUCUGGUCAGUGCUCUCUGGGUCUGGACUGGUUGAAGCUCCCAGAUGAAGUCUUCCUGGCUCCAGAGGACUGUAGAGUGGGGGGUGUUCUGGUCAGUGCUCUCUGGGUCUGGACUGGUUGAAGCUCCCAGAUGAAGUCUUCCUGGCUCCAGAGGUCUGUAGAGUGGGGGGUGUUCUGGUCAGUGCUCUCUGGGUCUGGACUGGUUGAAGCUCCCAGAUGAAGUCUUCCUGGCUCCAGAGGACUGUAGAGUGGGGGGUGUUCUGGUCAGUGCUCUCUGGGUCUGGACUGGUUGAAGCUCCCAGAUGAAGUCUUCCUGGC